CUGCUGCCUCCCGUAGGAGUCUGGUCCGUGUCUCAGUACCAGUGUGGGGGACCUUCCUCUCAGAACCCCUACGCAUCGUCGGUUAGGUGGGCCGUUACCCCGCCUACUGCCUAAUGCGCCGCAUGCCCAUCCCUGUCCGGCCGAAGCCUUUCCUGCCUCCGGGAUGCCCCGUGG
rnacentral:rRNA from 1 species